AACGAACGCUGGCGGCAUGCCUAACACGUGCAAGUCGAACGAGACCUUCGGGUCUAGUGGCGCACGGGUGCGUAACGCGUGGGAACCUGCCCUUAGGUUCGGAAUAACUCAGAGAAAUUUGAGCUAAUACCGGAUAAUGUCUUCGGACCAAAGAUUUAUCGCCUUUGGAUGGGCCCGCGUUGGAUUAGCUAGUUGGUGGGGUAAAGGCCUACCAAGGCGACGAUCCAUAGCUGGUCUGAGAGGAUGAUCAGCCACACUGGGACUGAGACACGGCCCAGACUCCUACGGGAGGCAGCAGUGGGGAAUCUUGGACAAUGGGGGCAACCCUGAUCCAGCCAUGCCGCGUGGGUGAUGAA
rnacentral:rRNA from 1 species